rnacentral:rRNA from 1 species
UCUGGGACAAGCCCUGGAAACGGGGUCUAAUACCGGAUACAACACUCUCGGGCAUCUGAUGAGUGUGGAAAGCUCCGGCGGUGAAGGAUGAGCCCGCGGCCUAUCAGCUUGUUGGUGAGGUAACGGCUCACCAAGGCGACGACGGGUAGCCGGCCUGAGAGGGCGACCGGCCACACUGGGACUGAGACACGGCCCAGACUCCUACGGGAGGCAGCAGUGGGGAAUAUUGCACAAUGGGCGAAAGCCUGAUGCAGCGACGCCGCGUGAGGGAUGACGGCCUUCGGGUUGUAAACCUCUUUCAGCAGGGAAGAAGCGAAAGUGACGGUACCUGCAGAAGAAGCGCCGGCUAACUACGUGCCAGCAGCCGCGGUAAUACGUAGGGCGCGAGCGUUGUCCGGAAUUAUUGGGCGUAAAGAGCUCGUAGGCGGUCUGUCGCGUCGGAUGUGAAAGCCCGGGGCUUAACCCCGGGUCUGCAUUCGAUACGGGCAGACUAGAGUGUGGUAGGGGAGAUCGGAAUUCCUGGUGUAGCGGUGAAAUGCGCAGAUAUCAGGAGGAACACCGGUGGCGAAGGCGGAUCUCUGGGCCAUUACUGACGCUGAGGAGCGAAAGCGUGGGGAGCGAACAGGAUUAGAUACCCUGGUAGUCCACGCCGUAAACGGUGGGAACUAGGUGUUGGCGACAUUCCACGUCGUCGGUGCCGCAGCUAACGCAUUAAGUUCCCCGCCUGG